AGUAGAUGGUAUGUCAUGUUAUAGUCAUAUAACAUAAGUCAUAAUUCCAGGCAUAAGUCCCAGGAGCAUGGGUCUCCUUCCUUCUCACAUCCUUAUUCUUGGGUGUAGGUGCCUGCUUCUGCACAUUAUUGUAGAAGAGAUGACAAUAACUGAAGUAACUCACAUUUUUAGGGAGUAUUCCAGUUCCAGGAACUGUGCUAAACACAUUCUCAGUAACUAUAAGAAUGUGGGAGACAAGCAGGAUUGUCUGGUGAAUUACCUGGGGAGCUCCUUCCAGUUGCCUGGCAAGAGGCUAGCUUGGAGGGCUGGGAAGAUCAUCAUCCUCUUUCUCCCAGCAGGACAUGCCACUCCAGACAGAACUCAACUUCCCUAGUGACUAUUGGCUAUCCAACCUCUCCUCCAGAAGAUAGAUGUCUACCAACUAGGAAGAGAGCCCUCACCAGGAACCAAAUCUGCUGACACCUGGAUCUUGAACUUCCCAGCCAACAGAAUUGUGAGGAAUAAAUGUAUGUAUUUUAAGCCAGUGGUCACCAACCUUUUUGGCACCAGGGAUCAGUUUCAUGGAGGACAAUUUUUCCAGAGACUGGAGGGUGGAAUGGUUUCAGGAUGAUUCAAGCACAUUACAUUUAUUGUGCACUUUAUUUCUAUUAUUAUUACACUGCAAUACAUAGUAAAAUAAUUGUACAACUCACCAUAAUGUAGAAUCACUGGGAGCCCUGAACUUGUUUUCCUACAACUAGACAUCCUAUCUGGGGAUGAUGGGAGACAUUGACAGGUCAUCAGGCAUUAGAUUCUCACAAGGAGCACACAACCUAGAUCCCUCACAUGCACAGUUCACGACAGG
rnacentral:lncRNA from 1 species